rnacentral:rRNA from 1 species
GAUGAACGCUGGCGGCGUGCCUAAUACAUGCAAGUCGAGCGAACAGACGAGGAGCUUGCUCCUCUGACGUUAGCGGCGGACGGGUGAGUCACACGUGGAUAACCUACCUAUAAGACUGGGAUAACUUCGGGAAACCGGAGCUAAUACCGGAUAAUAUAUUGAACCGCAUGGUUCAAUAGUUAAAUACGGUUUUGCUGUCACUUAUAGAUGGAUCCGCGCCGCAUUAGCUAGUUGGUAAGGUAACGGCUUACCAAGGCAACGAGGCGUAGCCGACCUGAGAGGGUGAUCGGCCACACUGGAGCGGAGACACGGUCCAGACCCCUACGGGAGGCAGCAGUAGGGAAUCUACCGCAGUGGGCGAAAGCCUAACGGAGCAACGCCGCGUGAGUGAUGAAGGGCUUCGGAUCGUAAAACUCUGUUAUUAGGGAAGAACAAAUGUGUAAGUAACUAUGCACGUCUUGACGGUACCGAAUCAGAAAGCCACGGCUAACUACUU